GGGAAGUCACCAGUCCAUGAGGGAGAGCAGGCCCAGACCCAGGUCUCCAGACUCACAGCCAUCGGUUUCUCAUGCAACCUUUAAUCUCCCCCCUGUGGAUUCUGAUGCCUCCUCCUACCCCCUGGGAACUUGGAGUCAGAGCCAACGGAGAAGGGGAGUGGCCUGGAUCCCUGCAGCUGGUUACCUAGAAAGGAGAACCAUCCUCUUCCCGAAAGAGAACGGAGAAUUGGCCUGGACCCCAAUGGCCCCUCCUCCAGGGCAGAGUCAGUCGGUGCCUACCCACACCUGGUACCUCCCUUACUGGCAACAGAGUCCAGAGCUAGUAACAGCCACCUGGGCAGCUGCUGGAGCCACUGGGAGUCACAGGCUGAGCCCCUGGGCCUGCUUCCUGUGCUCACAGCAAACCCCAGGUGAAGCCCCUCGAUGACUAAGCUGCCAGAUCUACAAAUCAGGAAUGGGGUCCCAGGCUCAGCAGCUCUUCUCCUGCCACCCACCAGGAGGAAGGAGAAGCAGAUAAGGGCCCCAGGAAGUCCCAGGAAAAAACAGAGACCAGCUGGAGGAAGGGAAGGCCCAGGAAGGCCUUGAAUACCUGCCGCCUCACCCCUCCUGGGAUAAGGGUCCCACCACCCCACGGAUGGGCCCAGGCGCCCCCUGCAACUUCUCCACCGCCGCCCACCGGUGCAACGUGGGUGGCCUGCCGGCGGCAGCGAUCAUCAUCCCAACCCUGCUCUCCUCGUCCACUCUCCUGAUCAUCAGCUUCAUCUUAUGGAAAACUUGCCGCCGGCUGUCUCGGGUCACCCACCCCCGCCUGCCACCCACAUGAGGGCCCAGGGAUGCUCCCUGCCUGGUGGGGCCUCCACAGGGAACCUGACCAAGGAGCAGAAAGUCCUCCUCCUGGGACCGAAUGAGAACACUCCUGGUUUCACCCCGGUUGUGGCAUGGCUAUCACGGAAUUUGAAUCAUGGAAUGUGACACCCAGAAAUGGAGCUGAGUUAUAUUAAUGCCUGUCAACCUCUGCUGCUGAGGCCCCUGGAGCUACCCUGCUCCUUUCAAAGACCCAUUUAUCAAUACUCCUUUUGAUUCUAAAAGUCCUUGCAAUCAAUUCCCCAAACUUUUAAUUUUCAUUUCUUUCAGAAUCAGUUUGUUACUUUUCAAGAAAAAACUUUAACUAAAAUGAACAAUGAAGAGAGAUGAAGUUGGUGAGGUAUACAGUCAGCAUGGUCCAGUGUAUGUAUAAUAGGACCCACAUAUGUAAUUUUGCGUUUUCUAGUAGCCACAUUUUAAAAAUUGAAGUUAGUGAAAUUAACAUUAACAAUGUUUCAUUUCACCCAAUAUAGAUAAAUAUUAUCAUUUCAGUAUCUAGUCAAGAUUUUUAAACUGCUAAUGAGAUGUUUUACAUUCUUCUCUUUGAACCAUGUCUUUGAAAUAUGGGGUGUAUUUUACACAUAUGGCAUAUCUCAAAUAAGACUGGCCGCACUUGGAGUGCUCCAUAGCCACAUGAGGCUGGUCGCUUGCAUAAUGGAUAGCACAGAUUAAGAUAUUCAAGGUGAUGAAGGAUCUGCUAAGAAGUCCUGGCCUCACUCUGAAAGCAGUGGGCAUCCGCUGAAGAGAUUCAAAUCUAGAAGUAACGUGAUAAAAUAUAUAUAUAACUUUAGGACGAUCACUCUGACUUCCACUUACAGAAUGGACAAGAAAGGACUUGAAGCUCGAGUUAGGGAGAUCAGUUAGGAGGAGCUGAAGAGAGAAUGAGAGGUAAAGAUGUUGAUGAUAGACUUUGGUGGCAGCAGCUGAAAUAUUGAGAUGCAGUCCUUCCCAUCACGCCAUCUCACAUAUCUUCCCCUAUUCUCUCUGGCAACCAAACAGGCAAAUCUAUGAUCUUUAAGGCAUAGUCCCCGGUAGUUAUGCCUGCAAAGUGGUCCACAAUAGAUCAAUCAACAGAUGUGUCUUUCCUCCCUCAAUGGAAUGUCCUCUGAAUGCUCCUGCUCGCACCUAACUGCUGAUCCUGAAAUUUGAAAGACAGGAAUAUUGGCCCAAUCUAUGGUAAACUGGAGGCCCUGUCCUAGGAAGUUUCCAGCAACUCUAAGAAGAGCUUUCUGCUGCAUGGGUGAAGGUGGAAAGUUAUAUUUAACCAGAGUUGUGGUUUUGCUUAGAGAGUAUACACACAACAAAUAAAAAAGAGGCAAGGAAGUAGUGGGUGAAUGCAAGGGAAUGAUGAUAAAAAUAACUAUGGAAUUUAAGCCAGCAUGGGAAUAUUUAAGAGAUAUUCAUAAAAAUUCCAGUUCUCCAACUCCACCCCUUGCUUCUGGACUCUGGGAAGAAAUGCACUUUUCUGUCCAUUUGAGGCUAGGUGUGGCCGUGUGACUAGUUCUGGCCAAUUAGAUUACAGACUCUAGAUGGAGCAUUUAAUUGCCAAGACCCUCCAGAGUUCUCUUUUCCCUCUCACAUAUUGACCAAUGUUAUUUGAAAUGGUGGCUUUUCCAUCAGCCUGGGUUUCUCACUAUGAAAAGCAGAGUCCUCUGUCGACCAACAAUGUUCAAGUUGUGUGAGCAGAAAAUAAAUCUUUCUUCAGUGUAUUAAAGCUUAAAAUGCAAGCCUUAAAUAUAAACCUGAAAUAUUGGCA